rnacentral:rRNA from 1 species
AGUGAACGCUGGCGGUAGGCCUAACACAUGCAAGUCGAACGGCAGCACAGGAGAGCUUGCUCUCUGGGUGGCGAGUGGCGGACGGGUGAGGAAUACAUCGGAAUCUACUCUGUCGUGGGGGAUAACGUAGGGAAACUUACGCUAAUACCGCAUACGACCUACGGGUGAAAGCAGGGGAUCUUCGGACCUUGCGCGACUCAAUGAGCCGGUGUGGGAUUUGCUAGUUGGCGGGAGAAAGGCCGACCAAGGCGAAGAUCCGUAGCUGGUCUGAGAGGAUGAUCAGCCACACUGGAACUGAGACACGGUCCAGACUCCUACGGGAGGCAGCAGUGGGGAAUAUUGGACAAUGGGCGCAAGCCUGAUCCAGCCAUACCGCGUGGGUGAAGAAGGCCUUCGGGUUGUAAAGCCCUUUUGUUGGGAAAGAAAUCCAGCUGGCUAAUACCCGGUUGGGAUGACGGUACCCAAAGAAUAAGCACCGGCUAACUUCGUGCCAGCAGCCGCGGUAA